CUCUCUACAGUCUACACCUGCUGUUGCGGCUGCACACUGCAGUAGCGUGGGGAACUUGUUAGGUGGUGACGUCAGCCAAAGAACUGGAAAACCAGAGCGGUGCCGUGCGGGAAAGAUCAAAGAAGAACACGAAGCAAAACAGCAAGCUCCGGAUUCACCACCCGAUCGAUCACCUGAGCCGAGCCGAGGUCUGGAUCGAUGAACUCUUCGGGGGCCGGGGGCAGCGCGGCGGAGUGGGAGGACUCGGCGGGGGAGAUGGAGGCGGAGGACAACCACCACGGCUCCACCGCCGGCGCCGUCGGCAUGGGCAUGAUGGAGGUCGACGCCGACGCGCAGGACCUCGCCGCCGAGGCGCCGACGUCCUCAUCCCCAGCUCCGCCCUCCCACGCCGACUUCUUCAACUCCUUCCCCGACGACUUCGACGACCAAGACCUCGCCUGACCGCCUCCCACCAACCCCGAACUCCUCACCAGUCACCAGGGUAUCAGAAUGAACAAAUAAUUGUGUGCUCAACAAAUAUGUUAAUGCGUCAUUAGAUAAAGGAACAGGCGGCUGUCUCCGUCUACUUCUGUUGGAUCUCCCACCCACCUCUACGUGCAUGGAUGCUGUUGUAAAAGUGACUUGCACGCUAUGUCCCAGUGUGUGGGAAUUUUACAUUUGUACAGCAAAACCACAAAUUUGAGUUAUAAGUUUUUUUUUAGAUCAA